CAUCGUCAUCAUCAUCAUCUGCUUCUUCUUUCUCACCAGUCACAUCUCCACUGAUCACAAGAGUUUCCAAAUCAUCUCCAUCCAGUUUCACAUCUGCAGACUCUUCUCUGAUCGUUCCUCUGGUUCUGCUUCUUCUGGUUCUGAUCAUCGUUGGUCUCUUAUUUCUGUUUCUCUGUAAGAAGCAUCAGUCUCGAGGCGGUGAUUCAUCAUCUCAGACUGGAGCAGAAAAACAUGGAGUGGUUUCUCACACUGGUUGUGAAUAUGAGGAGAUUAAAGACUCUCACAAACAGAUACCCACAAUCCCCUCUGUUUCUCCUGACUGUGUUUAUGCUACAGUUCAGAAAGACACUGGUGACUCUCAGAUCUUCAUCACAUCUGCUGAGGAUCUGAAUUACUCCGUGGUGAAUUUCCAGAAGAAAGCAGACUGUCCUGAAGGUGUCAGAUUGAGGAAUAAUCAGGAUUACAGUGAAUACGCUGCUGUCAAUCAUCUCACUGACUGAUGACACACAGCAGAGAAUCUCAAUCAACUGAAAGUUUUGAUUUUGUGUUCAAGCUUCCAUGAUUAGUAUUUUUGUUAUUUUUGUGGUUGUCUUCUGCUGUAUAUUUUAGACAGUCUUGCAGGUCAGACUUUUGACUGUAAAUUUGAAGAAUGUUUAAAUGACAGAGCAGUGUUUUGUUCUGCAAAGAAAUGAUCAGAACAACCUCUGUGUUUUUGGUCAACAUUUGAUGUAAAUAUGUACUGAAUAUUUCUGAGAUAAAAUAAUAUGCGCCUGUGAUCAGUUAGUUUUGUUAAUGUUAAACUACACGUCUGGCAGCUGCGGUUUUUCUGAAACUUUUAUUAAGUCUCAGUGUUUAAAAGCUCACACAUUUUUUAUUUUUUACACAUGCAGCAGCUACUGCUUUUUUCCUCAGUGUUUAAUAGAUAGAUUAAAAGCUCGAUAACUUAGAAAAGAACAUUUAGUAAACUAAGAUGAAGCCAUUAUAUUGUAUGCAAAUAUGAUAUGA